AAAGACAUGUGACUGGGGCCUGCACGGGACAGGACAAGACACAAGUCCACAAGUUAACAUGCAGAAUUACUUAAUGGAGCUUAACAUGAGCAGGUGGAGGGGUCGAAUCAGAGCGAGUUUUCUAGAUCAGGAAAACAGGUGUGGAGAGUGCAGGCUGGAGCUACACUGCAGGAUGUUCCUUUGUCAACCAUGAAAGAGUCCUCCAUUUAAGAAAGGAUAGUUUCAUGAAGACUCGUUUGGGCCGCGGGCUGUCUGGACUUCCUGAAUAAGGAAAGAGGAGCCCACUGGACACCAACAUGAACGUGACAAUGAAGACUGAGCCCAGACCAGCCAGGAUCCACUUAGUGCUCCGUGCCAAGUAGAUGAAAUGCAG